GACUCUGGGUUCUGCUCAGCAGACUGAAGGGAACACAACUAUGAUGAUUCUCUAUGCUGUACUUGGAGAAGGCUGGUUAGUCAUAAGUUUUAAAGCAGGUCAGUAUGGUGGAUUUCCAGUCUGCCAGCCUCCUUUGCAGUGGGUUGGGACCGAGUGACGGCUUCUGGCAAAUGAACUGUUCUUUCUUGCCCUGGAGACUCAAUGAUUUUAUGUCUAGUGGUUCAUAAGUCACAAAAUAUCUGGAAUUAGGUGGGAGACCAUGAUGAUGACAUUUGGAAGCAUCUCAGGAGACAAGAAUAAAACGCCAUUUUUUUUCCCACUUCGCUAACAACUCAGUGUUCUGAAAAGUCUGGAAUGUGCUAUGAAAAGUUUGUGUGCUUAGUGAAAUGUUGUACAAUUGGCCAAUCCACUAAGUCUUGGGAAAUGUCUUAGGAGCUUGGCAAGAAGAAGUUCUCAAGAGAGCCUGAAUGCUGCCAGUUUCCAAUUGGCCAAGACACAUUACAAGGACAACUGUCUCUCUGAGCAACCUGGCAUUUCCACUCCAAUUGGAAUCUGCAAGGGGAAGAUGCGCAGGGGAAGAAGAUUAAACAAACCUUUUCAGAUUUCUGGUCCAGGU
rnacentral:lncRNA from 1 species